CUACGGGGGGCUGCAGUGAGGAGUUUUGCGCAAUGGGGGAAACCCUGACGCAGCAACGCCGCGUGAGCGAAGAAGGCCUUCGGGUCGUAAAGCUCUGUCAAGUGGGAAAAACGUUUUCCGGUGAAUAGCCGGGAGAUCUGAUGGUACCGCUGAAGGAAGCACCGGCUAACUCCGUGCCAGCAGCCGCGGUAAUACGGAGGGUGCAAGCGUUGUUCGGAAUGAUUGGGCGUAAAGAGCGUGUAGGCGGUUUGGUAAGUCAGAUGUGAAAGCCCCGGGCUCAACCUGGGAAGUGCAUUUGAAACUGCGUUACUUGAGUAUGGGAGAGGAGAGUGGAAUUCCUGGUGUAGAGGUGAAAUUCGUAGAUAUCAGGAGGAACAUCUGUGGCGAAGGCGACUCUCUGGACCAAUACUGACGCUGAGACGCGAAAGCGUGGGUAACAAACAGGAUUAGAUACCCCCGUAGUC
rnacentral:rRNA from 1 species